rnacentral:misc_RNA from 1 species
CAUUUUCAUUAAAAAAAAGUAUAUUUGAUUUGUUUAGAUCCAUUCAACAUCUCGUAGGAAAACACAAAAUUAUUAGUGAAAAAUGGCACAAAACCAAAGGGACCCAGAAAAAUUUGAUAUUAAAGUGGUCCAUGAUAAAUUUGAAGCAUCACUACAAGAGGACGACGAUGUGGAUUUGGAACUUUACUUGGAGAGCUUUGAGGAACUGAACAAAUUCUUCAACUUGAUGGGAACAGUAUUUGGGUUUGUCAGCAAAGAUCUCAGGCAGAAAAUGGACUAUUUAAACAAUCUUGUUAUUGACAAUGAUACAAAUCAACAAUACAAGACAGUGAAGAGGAUGAUUGAGCAUGAAAAGGAGAAUGAAUUGCUUCACAAGAAAGGGUACAUCUCGGGUAGUCGAACUUUACUAAGGAUACAUAGAGGCCUUGAUUUUAUACAGCUUUUUUUAAAGAAGAUAGGAGAUUUGGAAAAUCAUGAAUCAACAGUAGUAGCUUGCCGUGAUGCUUAUGAGCAAACACUUGCUAAGCACCACUCUUUUUUAGUUAAAAAUGGGGCCAAGGUUGCUAUGUACACCUUACCUACAAGAGAACAACUUUUAAAGAAACUCAUUACGGUGGGUUACUAAGGCCCUAGAUGUACAGGUAUUCUCAGACGCCAUAUUGGUCCCUGCGAGGUGUGGAGCGUUUAACAACAACACGGUCGUCGAUGACCAACCAGAGCGGUUUCUCCCACCACAGACCGGAAGAGUUCAAAUUAUGAAAUAGUUUUAUGGAAGCAAUUCGCAGGUCCACAAAAAAGAACGACUGCAGAAAAUGGAUUGUAGUGCCCUAAAAAUCGAUUCAACACGAUCAAGGAGAAAUGUUAGAAAAGAACUGGGUGUGGUUUUAUGCCAGUAUAUGUUAUAAUUGAUAGGAAAGAAGUGUUGCCGAUGUCCAAAAUUUGUCUUUUUUUUGUUUCUGUUUUUUUGUUUAGUAAAUAUUACUACCAUU